ACGAACGCUGGCGGCGUGCUUAACACAUGCAAGUCGAGCGGUAAGGCCCUUUCGGGGGUACACGAGCGGCGAACGGGUGAGUAACACGUGGGUGACCUGCCCUCAGCUCUGGGAUAAGCCUGGGAAACCGGGUCUAAUACUGGAUAUGACUCCAUGACGCAUGUUGUGGGGUGGAAAGCCUUGUGCGGCUGAGGAUGGGCCCGCGGCCAAUCAGCUUGUUGGUGGGGUGAGGCCUACCAAGGCGACGACGGGUAGCCGGCCUGAGAGGCGACCGGCCACACUGGGACUGAGACACGGCCCAGACUCCUACGGGAGGCAGCAGUGGGGAAUCUUGCGCAAUGGGCGAAAGCCUGACGCAGCGACGCCGCGUGAGGG
rnacentral:rRNA from 1 species